GUAGUGCGCCGCGAUGGGGCCGCGGGGCCGGUGUGGCCGCCAAAGGCCCACCCAGGCGUCCGAGCCCAUAGCGCGGGUGGGGGGCGCUUACGGCUCGCAGCACCUGCGGACAGAAGGCGGUGGCCGCGGCCCCUGCACCGCAAAUUCUUGGGGAGCGCACUUUCCCACUACCCUGGGAUCAGCGCGGGGCGGGGCGGGGCCUGGACCGUAUCCCUGGCGCCAGCAAAACAAACGCGAGCUUCCUUCCCGGCUGUGUGGAGCUUGGGGCCGGGAGCGGAUCCAGGGCCAUCACCCGGACUCCAGGCGCAUUAGGCAGGGACGUGAACUCGCGGGGGCCAAGUCUAGACCCAGACUUGGUGAAGGGAAUCACCUGGGGGUGGGGUGGGGGCAGGAGAUUUUCGUGCUGUUGGGAAAGGGUGCCCCGGGAAGGGCCUGCGUGGGGGACCCGGUGCCCCGAGGUGCACUGACCUGUUGUGGUAGCUCCUAGCGUGGGAAAACAAAGCGACGUGGCUGGACAUCCCCGCUCCGCCCCGCCCACCUCCCAGACCCCAUUGUGGCCCUUUCCCGCUUCCUGGCAACCGCACUGACUGCCUGCCCCCCCAACCUGGGUCCGCCUCCCCCUUCCCCACCACCCAGUGCCGCCGCUGGGCCUCUGUGUGGAUUCUGUGGCACGGGUGGGAUAGUAGCCUGGGCCACCCAGAACGCUGGCCUCACCCUUACCCAAGUUUCAGUAUACCCAUUCUGGAAUAGGACAAAUCUGCAGACAAAAGCAAGGAUGGGAAUAAAGGAACUGAAUAAUGCAAAGCACACACUCCAUUUAAUUAUGUGUAGAGAGAGGACUUAUCUAUUUAAGUCCAUGAAAUAUUCGCAAAAAAAAUCAUGUAUUGGGCCACAAAAUAAUCACACAAAUUGAAAAAAAGAUGUGACACAUGAUUUGAUUACAAUCAAAUACAAUUCUAGGCAAACAAAAUGUAAAAAAAAGAAGAAGAAAACUCAGCCUGGGCAAUACAGUGAGACCCAUCUCGACAAAAAACUUUAAAAAUUAGCUGGGUGUGAUGAUGUACAUCUGUAUUCCCAGCUAUGGGGUCGGUGGCUGAGUCGGCAGGAUCUGUUGAGUCUGGGAGUUGGAUCCUGCAGUGAGCAGUGAUCCCACCACUAGACUCCGGCCUGGGUGACAGAGUGAGACCUUGUCUUAAAAAAAGAAAAAAAAAGGGAGAGAGAGAACAGGAAGCAGGAGCAAACAAAUAUUUUGAAAUUGACAAAUCUUUAAAAAAAAACCCUGGAUCAAAACUUGUCAGAAAUAAUCUGGUUACAAACUGUAGCAGGAAGAGCCGCAGACAAAACUCCUCAGACACCAGGUUAAAGAAGGAAGGGAUUUAUUCGGCCGGGGGCAUCGGCAAGACUCCUGUCUCAAGAGCCGAGCUCCCUGAGUGAGCAAUUCCUGUCCCUUUUAAGGGCUCACAACUCUAAGGGGGUCUGCGUGAGAGGUCAUGAUCGAUUGAGCAAGCAGGGGGUACGUGACUGGGGUCUGCGUGCACCGGGUAAUCAGAACGGAACAGAACAGGACAGGGAUUUUCACAGUGCUUUUCCAUGCAAUGUCUGGAAUCUACAGAUAACAUAACCGGUUAGGUCAGGGGUCCCUCUUUAACUACCAGGCCCAGGGCGCGGCACUGGGCUGUCUGCCUGUGGAUUUUAUUUCUGUCUUUUAGGUUUUACUUUUUCUUUCUUUGGAGGCAGAAAUUGGGCAUAAGACAUAUAUAUGAGGGGUGGUCUCCUUCCUUAAAACUACAUAUCAAACACUACAAAGGUAGAUUCCCUUCCUACUGAACUCCUACAGGAGGCAGCUAAAGCUGUGUUCUUGUGGGCGGAGGAUUACCCAGGUGCCGAGGCAAGAGACUGAAGGCACAAACUGUUUCAGUAUAAUAAAGAAAAUAGUUACAGUAAGAAUAGUUAUCAUACAAAUUAGAUAUAGAGAUGACCAUGGACAUUAUCAAUCAUUAGUGUAGACAUUAGUCAUUAACUUUUAAUAUUACUCUUUGUUGCAUCAUUAAUAUAACCUAGGAAUCACCGGCGGGUAUAGGGUCAGGUGCUGAAGGGACAUUGUGAGAAGUGACCUAGAAGGCAAGAGGUGAGCCGUCUGUCACGCCCAUAUAAGGGCCGUUUGAGGGCUCCUUGGUCAAGCGGUAACGCCAGUGUCUGGGAAGGCACCCGUUACUUAGCAGACUGCGAAAGGCAGUCUCCUUUCUUUGAAGGAGUCAGGGAACACUCUGCUCCACCAGCUUCUUGUGGGAGGCUGGAUAUUUUCCAGGCCUGCCCGCAGUCAUCCGGAGGCCUAACCCCCUCCCUGUGGUGCUUCACUGGUCACGCUCCUUGUCCACUUUCAUGCUCCUCCCAUACUCCUGGUUCCUCUUUGAAGUUCACAGUAGAUAGCGGUAGAAGAAAUAGUUAAAGUCUUAAAGUAUUUGAUCUUUCUUAGAAAUGCAUAGAAGAAAACGCUGACGUUUGCUGCCUUCCCUCUCUGCUUCAGCUACCUAAAAGGGAAGGGGCCCCUGUCCUGUGAUCACGUGACAUGCUUCACCUUGUCAAUCACUCAGAAGAUUCACCCUCCUUACCCUGUCCCCUUGUCUUGUAUGCAAUAAAUAUCAGCCGUUUGGGGCCACUACCGGUCUCCUCCUCUUGAUGGUAGUGGUCCCCCGGGCCCAGCUGUUUUCUCUUUAUCUCUUUGUCUUGUGUCUU
rnacentral:lncRNA from 1 species